rnacentral:rRNA from 1 species
CCAGAGAUUCUCAAACCUGCCAACCUAUCUCCCUGCCAGCCCUCACGUCUCCAAUGCUGAUAUUUUCUUCUUCCUCAAAGAAGCCAACCAGGAUAUCAUGAGGAACUCCAGUUUGCAGUCUAGGGUGGAUUCAUUCUUUAUAUACAAAGCCAAACAGCCACCUGUCCUAAACGCCACGUAUGGACCCUUUUCUGUCGAGCAGCCCAUCCCCUUGGACCUCAUGCUGACUUCUGCAUCUUUUGGUUUCACAAACAAAUUCACUUUUAAUUGGAAAUUGAAAUCCCACAUAAUCAACAGCUCCAUCUAUUCCAACAAACCUAAAAUCCAGACCUUGUUCUAUAUUGCUGGGAAGGACUGGGACGACUACGACCCUGAGGAGAUGCUGCCUUGUGUGAAGAUGUUUGCUUUCCUGGAGGCCAGAGAGGUGGUGGCCAGCUGUAGGUUGGCAGGCCACCUUGGAUUAUGUGUUGUGGAGUUGGAAUUGUCUCCCAGCUGGUUCAGCUCCCCUCCACCCCUGCUUUCAGAGGARACAACCUCCCUGGAAGGGAUUACUGUGGAGCUCUUCUAUAAGAUUUACUCAGUGGAUGGGGAAUGUUCUCCAGAGGAUGCAAAAUGGGAAAACAA